UUUCAGCAAAUAUCUCCAAGCUUGUUGCAUUUCGUCUUAUUUGAAUUUUUUUAUGGUUAGCAUUUUGGUUGUUAUUAGAUAAUAAAACAUGAACAAUACUUUAUGCAUGACUACUUUUUAAAUAUUGUUUAAAAAAAUUAAAUAAGACGAACGAUCAAAGUUGAACAUGAAAACUCAUGACUGCGUUUAAA
rfam:Oryza sativa Japonica Group DNA, chromosome 1, cultivar: Nipponbare, complete sequence.